rnacentral:rRNA from 1 species
UACAGAGGGUGCGAGCGUUAAUCGGAAUUAUUGGGCGUAAAGCGCGUGUAGGCGGCUUUGCAAGUCGGGUGUGAAAUCCCUCAGCUUAACUGAGGAAGUGCGCCCGAAACUGCAGAGCUUGAGUGCCGGAGAGGGUGGCGGAAUUCCCCAAGUAGAGGUGAAAUUCGUAGAUAUGGGGAGGAACACCGGUGGCGAAGGCGGCCACCUGGCCGGUAACUGACGCUGAGACGCGAAAGCAUGGGGAGCAAACAGG